rnacentral:rRNA from 1 species
CGCUUCUUUUUCACCGGAGCUUGCUCCACCGGAAAAAGAAGAGUGGCGAACGGGUGAGUAACACGUGGGUAACCUGCCCAUCAGAAGGGGAUAACACUUGGAAACAGGUGCUAAUACCGUAUAACAAUCGAAACCGCAUGGUUUUGAUUUGAAAGGCGCUUUCGGGUGUCGCUGAUGGAUGGACCCGCGGUGCAUUAGCUAGUUGGUGAGGUAACGGCUCACCAAGGCCACGAUGCAUAGCCGACCUGAGAGGGUGAUCGGCCACAUUGGGACUGAGACACGGCCCAAACUCCUACGGGAGGCAGCAGUAGGGAAUCUUCGGCAAUGGACGAAAGUCUGACCGAGCAACGCCGCGUGAGUGAAGAAGGUUUUCGGAUCGUAAAACUCUGUUGUUAGAGAAGAACAAGGAUGAGAGUAACUGUUCAUCCCUUGACGGUAUCUAACCAGAAAGCCACGGCUAACUACGUGCCAGCAGCCGCGGUAAUACGUAGGUGGCAAGCGUUGUCCGGAUUUAUUGGGCGUAAAGCGAGCGCAGGCGGUUUCUUAAGUCUGAUGUGAAAGCCCCCGGCUCAACCGGGGAGGGUCAUUGGAAACUGGGAGACUUGAGUGCAGAAGAGGAGAGUGGAAUUCCAUGUGUAGCGGUGAAAUGCGUAGAUAUAUGGAGGAACACCAGUGGCGAAGGCGGCUCUCUGGUCUGUAACUGACGCUGAGGCUCGAAAGCGUGGGGAGCAAACAGGAUUAGAUACCCUGGUAGUCCACGCCGUAAACGAUGAGUGCUAAGUGUUGGAGGGUUUCCGCCCUUCAGUGCUGCAGCUAACGCAUUAAGCACUCCGCCUGGGGAGUACGACCGCAAGGUUGAAACUCAAAGGAAUUGACGGGGGCCCGCACAAGCGGUGGAGCAUGUGGUUUAAUUCGAAGCAACGCGAAGAACCUUACCAGGUCUUGACAUCCUUUGACCACUCUAGAGAUAGAGCUUCCCCUUCGGGGGCAAAGUGACAGGUGGUGCAUGGUUGUCGUCAGCUCGUGUCGUGAGAUGUUGGGUUAAGUCCCGCAACGAGCGCAACCCUUAUUGUUAGUUGCCAUCAUUUAGUUGGGCACUCUAGCAAGACUGCCGGUGACAAACCGGAGGAAGGUGGGGAUGACGUCAAAUCAUCAUGCCCCUUAUGACCUGGGCUACACACGUGCUACAAUGGGAAGUACAACGAGUCGCGAAGUCGCGAGGCUAAGCUAAUCUCUUAAAGCUUCUCUCAGUUCGGAUUGUAGGCUGCAACUCGCCUACAUGAAGCCGGAAUCGCUAGUAAUCGCGGAUCAGCACGCCGCGGUGAAUACGUUCCCGGGCCUUGUACACACCGCCCGUCACACCACGAGAGUUUGUAACACCCGAAGUCGGUGA